AUUUCAGCUUUAUUACCUUAUAUAGGCAUUAAGAAUACAGAAUUGAAUGCUAAUCAAUAAAGUUGCGACAGGCUGUGGUAAUAAAAUUGAACUGAACAAUACUAAGCCCGUUGAUACAUCGUACGUCUCGGUGACAUCAAAGAGUUAGAAGAAUAUGGGUUUGAUUACAUAAUGAUCAAUGAGCUAUUCGGAACAUAUAAUUAUGUAUCAUAACGACAACUUCUAAUUAUGACAUGUAAUUAACAACAAACCGUAAUACUAUUCAUUGACAAAAUAUUCACAGUUUGCUUUUACAGCAGGCUUUCGGACGAGUUGUGGCACGCCAGUAAUAAUGUUGAUGGGUAAUAUUUGAACAAUGUUGUAAUGAUUAAGGAAAGACCAAAUGAUGUACUUGUGCAAGAUAUAAUAUGUUGCAAAUAUCACUACGGACGUUUCUAUGCACUGCUUUUUGUUCAGUAUUUCCCUCAAGGAUAUUAAACAGAAAUAUAUACUAGAUAAUGUGUUGCAGUCUGGAAUAUAUCAAUAUUUAACGGAGGAAAUGGACUGGGCUAAUGAUUACUUCUUUAAUAACUUUCACUCGCUUGGACGUACUUUCCUAUUCUAUAUAGAUUUAUGCAUUGAGAGCGUAGACACACUGGUUUCCAUUGCAGACUUCUUUCCAUGCUAAUAGCGAAAGGAAACAGGAUUGAAGCGGAUACUACUGCCAGAAUGAUUUGAUCAGACGAAUUAGUUACAGAGAAAGUAUGAAUUUGUUUGAAUGGACUGGCUUCUAGAUGAACAUCUUGACAUUUCAGUUUUUAAAAGAUAUGAAAGGAUUGCAGAACUACAAAACCCGAUAUUCCAAUGAUAUGAUAAAAACAACAGCUACAGUUCUGUAAUAUAUUUCAUCAUAUUUAAGUUCGUAGGUUUAUUUUUGUCACCAAACAAAUGAUAAAUGUGGCCAUGCAUCAUAUGAAGAGUAAUCAGUCAGAAAGAGAGUUCUUUAAAAAAACGUUGUAUCGCUAUUUUACAUGUUCUAUGCAGAUCUUACCAUACAGAGAGGAAUGCAGUUAUUUAUUCAUGAACAAUGAUGGCUUUUUGAAAGGAAUAACAGCAGACUAAUUCAUUAAUGUAACCAACCAAUAUCAAAAUAGAGAGAUUCGAAACCAGCCAUCAUCUUGCCGGGGAUCUUUUGGGAUUGCAAUAUGUGACUGACUGAUAAUGAAACUGUUAAAUAUUACUUGAUGUAAAAAUACAGAGUCAUAAAAUUAGCUAUUGAUAUUGUGUUGAUAUGGAAAUAAAUACUACAGUUUUAGCGCAGUCACUCAUAUGUUAAGACGGUGAAGAAUAUUUAGACUACAAAUGGAAAGUCGUUGACACAUGAAGCGUUCAAACUAAGUUCAGUAAGUAUUAAUGUUAAUUAAAUAACCUUAAAUGAACUGAAUAUAUAUGAGCUACGCCAUGGGAAAACCAACAUAGUGGG
rnacentral:lncRNA from 1 species